CGAACGGCAGCGAGGAGAAGCUUGCUUCUCUGUCGGCGAGUGGCGAACGGGUGAGUAUAGCAUCGGAACGUGCCAAGUAGUGGGGGAUAACCAAACGAAAGUUUGGCUAAUACCGCGUAAGCUCCAAGGAGGAAAGUAGGGGACCUAAAUAAGGCCUUACGCUAUUUGAUCGGCCGAUGUCGGAUUAGCUAGUUGGUGGGGUAAUGGCUCACCAAGGCAAUGAUCCGUAGCGGGUCUGAGAGGACGAUCCGCCACACUGGGACUGAGACACGGCCCAGACUCCUACGGGAGGCAGCAGUGGGGAAUUUUGGACAAUGGGGGAAACCCUGAUCCAGCCAUGCCGCGUGUAUGAAGAAGGCCUUAGGGUUGUAAAGUACUUUUGUUAGGGAAGAAAAGCUAGUUUUUAAUAAAAAUUAGUGAUGACGGUACCUAAAGAAUAAGCACCGGCUAACUACGUGCCAGCAGCCGCGGUAAUACGUAGGGUGCAAGCGUUAAUCGGAAUUAUUGGGCGUAAAGCGAGUGCAGACGGUUACUUAAGCCAGAUGUGAAAUCCCCAAGCUUAACUUGGGACGUGCAUUUGGAACUGGGUGACUAGAGUGUGUCAGAGGGAGGUAGAAUUCCACAUGUAGCGGUGGAAUGCGUAGAGAUGUGGAGGAAUACCGAUGGCGAAGGCAGCCUCCUGGGAUAACACUGACGUU
rnacentral:rRNA from 1 species